CUACGCAGCAGCCUGUUGCUGAGUGACAGAAAGGAAAGGCAGGGAUGUUCACUCCAAAGAGUAGGAAGCAAGUCGGGUGCCUCUUCAACUGGUCCUGGCAAGGAAUUUGCUUUCUCACUCAACCCAGUCUGCCACGUCAAACUUCCUCACACUGGAGCACCAAGUUACAGAAACCUGACUCAGCUUCAAGCGGCAACAUGGCAGAAAGCCACUUGGCACGAGCAGGCCGAGCCUCAAAAUCUGGGAUUCCAAGCCCAGGACAACCCCCAGCCCGCUGUCAUUCGCCCGUUCUCACCAGAUGCUCGUCUUACCCUGGACCCAGCUGGGAUUUGGACAAAUCAGUUUCACUGUCAGGCUGUCCCGAAGCUUGAGGAUACAUUUGCCAUUAUCACAAAAUGAGUAUUUCCAGCAUUCCCUCCCUCCAAGGAAGGGGAAAUUAAGUUGAUACGGAGAUAAGAACACCGCGGGCAGCAACGCUGGAAUACCGUGGCUACUGAGGACCCUAACCUGGGAGUUUCAGCAUCCCCAGACACAAAGAUACGGGCGCGGGGGCGGGUAAAAAAUGCCCACGCCCACCCCCACCCCACCACCCCCCAGUAUUAAACUACACGAAAGGACUGAAGGAGCAAAGCAGGUCUCCUCCGCUGCCCCGCCACAGGAUAUUUUGGGUUCUGCACUGCCGACAUGGGAAGGUACACGCUUCGGGAUCUCGAAGAGAUUGCAGUCUAGAGGUGAAUCUGGCACAUGUACGGAGACUUGACUCACUCCGCGAGGCACUACAGAGAAAGCAACGCCCAAGGCAGCUGUCAACGCGGCGCAGAAACCGGGGAAAGGACGUCCCAGCUAAAAGGAAAAGAAGGAAGAGAGUCAACUCUGCAAAAGACCACAUAGAAAGAAGAAAUUUCCUGAGAACAACUCAGAGUUCUGAUAGGUGGCCUUUGGAAAGUUAGAAUUAUCAUACUCUAAGUCCUUGGAAGGAAAGUUAUGACCAACCUACAUAGCAUAUUCAAAAGCAGAGACAUUCCUUUGCCAACAAAAGUCCGUCUAGUCAAGGCUAUGGUUUUU